GGUACUUUGAAGAGGAUGGUGGAGAAGGUUGAAUACAACACUCAAAAAAAUCCUUCCAUCGGCCUCCAACUAUUGACUGGGAAGGCCAUAGCAUACGAUUCAGAAUUUUUUUUUAUUGACCAAAGCGUGUUGCCUUUAGAAUCCUCCCUCAAAGUCACUUUGUUUACCACUUCACCGGCAAAGAAGCAUCAUUUCAGGAAUUCUUUUAGACACCGAUGUACAAUCGUCCGUUUGUGAGCAUGUAGAGCUCGCUUAUUGGUGCAGUGCUUUUCAUAUGAACACAUGCAUGAGGAGUUUAAAUCAGGUGCAAUUUGACAACUUCAUGUCAGGCAUUUCCCUGUCAUUGUCCUUUUGAAUUAGCAUUACCUUGACACAAUAUGUUUAAAGUGAGGCAAAAUUCUGGUGACAUACAGUAAGUGUUUUUCCAAAUGAGGGGAAGACGUUUUUACAAAGAACAGACAGAGCGUGAAACAUUAUCUGACACAUUAAAAGCCUCCAACCAACAUAUAUCCUCAAUAACAAAGAAAACCGUUUGGCGUUACAUGAGAUGUCGGCUUUUAUUGCAGCUGAACAUGAUUUCCUUCUACCCCCACCUUGUCAAAGUCAACAGCACAGCAUCAAGUUUGGAUUUUUUGGAAAUGAUGAUGCUCUCGAAAUAAUUAAAUCUCGUUGUCACCGGGACAAUAGAGCACGUCUCCAACAGGGUGCAGAUCAUUUUAUUUGAGCGGCACUACUAUUUACGGGCGUAAUUGGAUCUUCAAACCGCCAAGAGAUGCGCCCUUUUCGCAAAAUCCAUUAGCACACCACAACACUUUGCCCCUGGGACGAGCACUGGGGCUUCCAACAAGGCUUGAUAUCACUCUGCGGGAGUGAAUAAAACAUGGACACUCUCCUCCUCUCAGCCUGCCUGCUCUUCAUCAGACAGCGAAAAGAAUGACUCACCUGAGUUCAUCUCUUUUGUCAAAUGAAAUGUGCCUCUUGUGUUUCUAUUCUAACUUCUAAAAAAAAAGUUUUGAGGGCACGUUUUAGAGACUCAUGACAGGUUUCUGACAUCCGUUUGUCCCAGCAGCUCCAGGAAGGAGUUUGACUUGAGAGCCACGACCUCACGCUGCUGUGCUUUUUAUCAAAAGAACAACAUUUUAUUUUCAUUCCUCA
ensembl:lncRNA